UAGGGAAUCUUCGGCAAUGGACGAAAGUCUGACCGAGCAACGCCGCGUGAGUGAAGAAGGUUUUCGGAUCGUAAAACUCUGUUGUUAGAGAAGAACAAGGACGUUAGUAACUGAACGUCCCCUGACGGUAUCUAACCAGAAAGCCACGGCUAACUACGUGCCAGCAGCCGCGGUAAUACGUAGGUGGCAAGCGUUGUCCGGAUUUAUUGGGCGUAAAGCGAGCGCAGGCGGUUUCUUAAGUCUGAUGUGAAAGCCCCCGGCUCAACCGGGGAGGGUCAUUGGAAACUGGGAGACUUGAGUGCAGAAGAGGAGAGUGGAAUUCCAUGUGUAGCGGUGAAAUGCGUAGAUAUAUGGAGGCACACCAGUGGCGAAGGCGGCUCUCUAGUCUGUAACUGACGCUGAGGCUCGAAAGCGUGGGGAGCAAACAGG
rnacentral:rRNA from 1 species